GUCAAUUGCGUUUCGAACCUCUAGAACUUUCUAAUAAGGUAGCUCCCAAAAUAUAGACUACUGGAACAAGUUGGCUACCUCUAGAACUUCCCAAUAAAGAUUCUUCCACAUGGCUGCACAUUCGUUAUCAUCAUUCGGAACAAGUUGGCUACCGGAACCCUUACCAAAGACUACCUUCACAUCCUUUAUCUUAGAAAAUACAUGCUUUCCGUUAUGGUGCAAAGGCUUAGCACGAGUAUCAGGCUCCCCUUUAAAAUGCUUUCCUUUCUUUCUUAAAGGGUGAUUCGUAGGAAGAAAUCAACCAUGGCCCAUAUACACCACCUUCCGACAGUGUUUCAAAUACAUGCUAUCGGUUUCAUCUAGACAGUGGGUGCACGCUCGAUAUCCCUUGUUCUCCCGAUAGGUUACUAAGUGCAGGCCAAUCAUUGAUGGUUAUAAAAAGCAAUGCUCUGAGAAUGAAAGUCUCCUGUUUUUCCUCAUCCC
rnacentral:lncRNA from 1 species